GUUGAAUCACCACUCAUCAAAUGGCUCUCAGAGCCAAUAAUUUUUAUCUUAAAUGUAAAUGACUGAAAAACAUAUGGAAAGAAAUUCAGUUUACAGAGUGAUUGAAGGUUUGUGGAUGAGUGCCAACAAAAAGAUCAUCUUCAUGCAUUAUAUUCCAAGAAUCUUUGGUUUCAGUCUUUAUGGCUUCUAAGAGAUUUCCCUGCCCUAAGAGCUGCACAGAGAGUCCUGUUGUUUCCAUUACACUACAAAUAGUGGGACUCGGUCCAUAAGCUUGUACAGCUCAGUUUCAAAGAUUCUGGAACAACUUUCUGGAAGAGACUUUCACCAGCUCAGGGAGAAGUGAAGAAAUGAUUCUGUCUCCCAAAUUGAGACACGCUGAAAGGAUCACAAGAAGCAUGCCAGAAGUAAAAGACUCAUAACCUUUAUAUGCUCCAGAUUAUAGGAACAGAAGUUUCUUGGAUGAGUAAAUGGCAUUAGAAAGGAACAAUCUCCAGAGGUCAGCAGGUCUAGAUUCUUGAAAAGUGUAGAGAGAAAAUAUAGGAGCAAUUGGAGCCUAUAACAUCAAGAAUGUGAAUGGUGCAUCUUUGUUUAUAACCUGUUACAUGACUAUGCUGGUUGAGAAGUGUGAAGUCAAACCUGAUGUUGCAUCACCAUUCAUUUCCCCAGAAGAAAACCUACAGUAGGAGUUGAAUGAAUAAAGGUGUGUUCCCCUACUUGGUAUACAGUUUUCUUGGAAUAUGCCCUGAAUCCUGUUUUGAAACUCUAU